rnacentral:rRNA from 1 species
AGUGAACGCUGGCGGUAGGCCUAACACAUGCAAGUCGAACGGCAGCACAGUAAGAGCUUGCUCUUACGGGUGGCGAGUGGCGGACGGGUGAGGAAUACAUCGGAAUCUACUUUUUCGUGGGGGAUAACGUAGGGAAGCUUACGCUAAUACCGCAUACGACCUACGGGUGAAAGCAGGGGAUCUUCGGACCUUGCGCGAUUGAGUGAGCCGAUGUCGGAUUAGGUAGUUGGCGGGGUAAAGGCCCACCAAGGCGACGAUCCGUAGCUGGUCUGAGAGGAUGAUCAGCCACACUGGAACUGAGACACGGUCCAGACUCCUACGGGAGGCAGCAGUGGGGAAUAUUGGACAAUGGGCGCAAGCCUGAUCCAGCCAUACCGCGUGGGUGAAGAAGGCCUUCGGGUUGUAAAGCCCUUUUGUUGGGAAAGAAAAGCAGCAGGUUAAUACCCCGCUGUUCUGACGGUACCCAAAGAAUAAGCACCGGCUAACUUCGUG